GACGAACGCUGGCGGCGUGCUUAACACAUGCAAGUCGAACGGAAAGGCCCUGCUUUUGUGGGGUGCUCGAGUGGCGAACGGGUGAGUAACAAGUGAGUAACCUGCCCUUGACUUUGGGAUAACUUCAGGAAACUGGGGCUAAUACCGGAUAGGAGCUCCUGCUGCAUGGUGGGGGUUGGAAAGUUUCGGCGGGUGGGGAUGGACUCGCGGCUUAUCAGCUUGUUGGUGGGGUAGUGGCUUACCAAGGCAUUGCCGGGUAGCCGGCAUGAGAGGGUGACCGGCCACAUUGGGACUGAGAUACGGCCCAGACUCCUACGGGAGGCAGCAGUGGGGAAUAUUGCACAAUGGGCGGAAGCCUGAUGCAGCAACGCCGCGUGCGGGAUGACGGCCUUCGGGUUGUAAACCGCUUUCGCCUGUGACGAAGCGUGAGUGACGGUAAUGGGUAAAGAAGCACCGGCUAACUACGUG
rnacentral:rRNA from 1 species